AUUAUUGGGCGUAAAGAGCUCGUAGGCGGUUUGUCGCGUCUGCUGUGAAAUCCCGAGGCUCAACCUCGGGCUUGCAGUGGGUACGGGCAGACUAGAGUGCGGUAGGGGAGAUUGGAAUUCCUGGUGUAGCGGUGGAAUGCGCAGAUAUCAGGAGGAACACCGAUGGCGAAGGCAGAUCUCUGGGCCGUAACUGACGCUGAGGAGCGAAAGCAUGGGGAGCGAACAGGAUUAGAUACCCUGGUAGUCCAUGCCGUAAACGUUGGGCGCUAGAUGUAGGGACCUUUCCACGGUUUCUGUGUCGUAGCUAACGCAUUAAGCGCCCCGCCUGGGGAGUACGGCCGCAAGGCUAAAACUCAAAUGAAUUGACGGUUUUA
rnacentral:rRNA from 1 species